AGAGUUUGAUCCUGGCUCAGGAUGAACGCCCCCUGCGUGCCUCACACAUGCGAGUCGAACGGACUUAUAACGAAACCUACUGAAUUAUAACUUACUGGUGGACGGGUGAGGAGCGCGUGGAAGACCUGCCGCAUGCUGGGGGAUCACACUUAAAAAUCGGUGCUAAUACCGGAUCACCGCACGGCUUCACAUGAAACAGAGUGAAACACUCCGGUGGUAUACGAUGGUUCCGCGUCUGAUUAACUAGUUGGGGAGGUAAAACCCCACCUAGGCAACGAUCACUAUCCCGCCUGAGAGGGUGAGCGGCCACCUUGGGACUGAAACCCCGCCCAUACUCCUACGGAAGGCACCAGCGGGGGAUCUUGCACACUGGGGGGAACCCUGAUGCAGCCACCCCUCGUGAGUGAAGAACUAUUUCCGAAAGUCUAACUCUAUCAACACGCAAGAAAAAAAAUCCACUCGACUUUGGACAGUACCUGACUAACAAGCCCCAGCUAACUACCUGCCGACACACGCGGCAAUAGGUAGGGGGCAAGCGUUAUCCGGAUUUACUGGGUGUAAAGGGAGCGUAGACGGCGACGCAUGUCUGGAGUGAAAGCCCGGGUCCCAACCCCGGGACUGCUCUGGAAACUUCGUCGCUGGAGUACGGGAGGGGCAGGAGGAAUUCCUGGUGUAGCGGUGAAAUGCGUAGAUAUCAGGAGGAUACACCGGCGGAGAAGGCGGCCUGGUGGACCGUGACUGACUUUGAGGCUAGAGAGUGUGGGGAGCAAACAGGAUUAGACACCCUUGUUAGUCCACGCCUGUAAAACGAUGAAUCAUAGUUGUUGGCGCGGAAUAGCCUCCGGUGCCGCCGCAAACGCAGUUAGUAUUCUCCCCUGGGGAGUACUUCCGCAAGAAUUAAAUUCAAAGGAAUUGACGGGGACCCGCACAAGCGGGGGAGCAUGUGGUUUAAUUGAAAGCAACGCGAAGAACCUUACCAAAUCUUGACAUCCCUCUGGCAGAGUAUGUAAAGUACUUUUCCUUCGGGACAGAGGAGACAGGUGGUGCAUGGUUGUCGUCAGCUCGUGUCGUGAGAUGUUGGGUUAAGUCCCGCAACGAGCGCAACCCUUGCCGUCAGUAGCCAGCAGGUAAAGCUGGGCACUCUGGCGGGACAGCCGGGGAUAACCCGGAGGAAGGCGGGGAUGACGUCAAAUCAUCAUGCCCCUUAUGAUUUGGGCUACACACGUGCUACAAUGGCGUAAACAGAGGGAGGCGAAGCCGAGAGGAGGAGCAAAUCCCAGAAACAACUUCCCAGUUCGGACUGUAGUCUGCAACUCGCCUACAUGAAGCUGGAAUCGCUAGUAAUCGCGAAUCAGAAUGUCGCGGUGAAUACGUUCCCGGGUCUUGUACUCACCGCCCGUCA
rnacentral:rRNA from 1 species